CAGGACACUGAGAAAGACGCGUCCUCCGGAGUGAACGAUGAACCUUCGACAUUGAAGGCCCUAACAUCCACCACCCGACAAAAGGAGACCAUGCAAAGCAGAACUGUCAGUUUUGCUGAAAGCUGACGUAAGGACAGCGAAGCGUUGUCUGUCCAUACCCGUAAAAAUUGUAAUACCAUGUUGAUGUCCCAAAGUCUCGAGUAUUUCGGAGCUGGAAGAUGUGACAAACGAAUACCUCUCAUUCGUCUACAGAUCAGAGGAUCCUGUCCCA